CUUUUCUGCCGUAUUUUUUUUGCGGGUCUAAAACUUUUAUUUGCGAGUUGAAAAGUUUUGCUUGCGAGUUAAGCUGUCUCUCAGUGGGCAGUCUCUACCCACCAGGAUGAAAGGCCUUUUCCUAUUGGUCACUCUCGAUUGAAGUCACAGGUUGACCACGCCCACUCAGUUUCCCCGGAAUCCGCUGCACUGCCGCCGCAGUCUGACAGAAGAGCGAGCGAGGGUGCAUCAUGACGAGCAACAGGUCGUGUACUGGGAAGAUUUGGUGUUGAUGGAGGAGGCAACAUCUUCAAGGCAAAACCUUAGACCUGAUGCAACAUCAUCCAGUGUCAAAAUCACCCUUUAGGAGGCACUUGAAGACCAGUGCCCAAUAUGCACAGGAACAUUUAGACCUGCCAUGCCAGCUUUUGUGGAGACAGGCUCUCCAAGGAAGGUGAUUUUCAGGGGAUUGACUGGAAUUCCUGGUUUUUUAUGUUUCCACAACUUCAGACGUGUUAUCUCGUGACAGACUUCAGAUGUCUUUGUGGUGUUUAUCUGUGCUGCUGCAUGACGAAUCACAU